rnacentral:rRNA from 1 species
CCUACGGGCGACAGCAGUGGGGAAUAUUGCACAAUGGGGGAAACCCUGAUGCAGCAACGCCGCGUGAGUGAAGAAGUAUUUCGGUAUGUAAAGCUCUAUCAGCAGGGAAGAAGAUGACGGUACCUGACCAAGAAGCCCCGGCUAACUACGUGCCAGCAGCCGCGGUAAUCCGUAGGGGGCAAGCGUUAUCCGGAUUUACUGGGUGUAAAGGGAGCGCAGACGGCAGUGCAAGUCUGGAGGGAAAGCCCGGGGUCCAACCCCGGAACUGCCCUGGAAACUGUGCGGCUAGAGUACUGGAGGGGCAGGCGGAAUGCGUAGUGUAGCGGUGAAAUGCGUAGAUAUUAGGAGGAACACCAGUGGCGAAGGCGGCCUGCUGGACAGUAACUGACGUUGAGGCUCGAAAGCGUGGGGAGCAAACAGGAUUAGAUACCCUUGUAGUC